rnacentral:misc_RNA from 1 species
GUAGGUGAACCUGCGGAAGGAUCAUUACUGAGUGAGGGCGCUCGCCGCCCGACCUCCCAACCCUUUGAUUUGAUCAAGACCUCCUUCUGCCUCGGGGGCGACCCGGCCUUUGGGCCUCGGUCCCCCCGGUGGUCACACACCCCAACUCUGCAUCAAUUGUCGUCUGAGCAUGAAGUAAAUUCAAUCAAAACUCUCAACAACGGAUCUCUUGGUUCUG